GUCAGCAGUCCCAUGUACAUCAGUGGAAACUUCAAAUUUCAUUUCAUCAGCAGGUUCCAUAAGUUCCAUGCAAGUUUUAACCCCUAUGAAAAAAUAUCAUUUAGCAACAAGCCAACAAAGGGCAACAGACUGUCAAGUGCAAACUGUUCUGCACAUAUGUAAUGAAUUGAUGAUCGUUCCAGCAGAUGAUAACACAGACUUACAGUCCAUGGAGAUAACCCAUUUGCCAUUCAAGAUUGCCAUCAGAAACUUCAGUGUGCGCUUGCAAGAACCAGACAUGUUGGUUGAUGCAAUAACAUGGGUAACAUUAGGACUCCAACUUGUUGAGAUUGGCACACCAGCUAUUUUUGCGAGUUCUGAUAC
rnacentral:misc_RNA from 1 species